ACAAGUGAUGUGAUCUUAAAUUAUUCCAAAUCUGAUGAAGACUCAUCUACAUCUUGGAUGGCCUGAGGAGGAGUACAUUUUCAACAAAUUUUCAGUUAUUAUUCCUUUAAAACAAGAAAGUGUGCACUAGGCUUUAGCCAGCGACUCUUUCGGUGUCUUUUCUCCUCCGUGGUCAUUACAGCAGCGGCUGCAGUGCAGGGUAGGCGUCUUUUUUCCCAGGAGCAUCUCGCUGUACAGCAAGGUCACAGCAAGAGCAGCAAGAGAUGCACAACGAGAGAAAGAGAUGGAGAACUGCUCUAAAGGGCAGCUGGGAACUCAAUGGACCCGCCAAAGGCCAGGAGAGAAGGAAACAGAGCGAAUGAAGCCAAGAAUGGAGGAGAGAACGGCCUACCGGGGGUCGCGUUCAGCCGGAGCAGCGGGGCGGUGAAUGGAUGGGCGCCCGUCGAGAUGGAGGGGCUGUCGAUUAGAUUUCUCACAGCUCAGGUUUAAGCAGUGAGGCUUCUCCCGUCUUUCGCCAAAAAAACUCAUGGAAACAAAACCCCUGAUGUUUUGAGUGAAAUCGGCCCAGCUGGACACGUCACGUGAGCCGCCCAUAUCGCAAGGUUUUGCGGCGGUUCGCUCGGGGACCUGCUAAAGCGUACGGGAACGAAGCCGAGGGUUAAAGGUCAUUUGCGACGAGAGCUUUGGGGUCCUCCGGAGAAAGCUGCCCUGUCUGAAGGGGUCGACGCCAGGUACCCAAAUGACAGAGCAGGUGAGGAGAGAGAGAAUCCAGAGAGAGUGACAGAAAGCCAAGACGCUGAGCGAUGCAGAAGUUGAUGGUGUCUCCGCGAUGAGUUUCUUCCUCCCAUAUUGCCCAGCCCACAGCGCUCCAACGUCUCUGCUAUGCUACGCCACGAUGAUCUGCUCUCUGUGCGAGAUGUAUCACGGUUCCAGACCAAUCGCGGUGGGGGUGGAAGUAGGUGGAAGGAAGCGGACCGAAGGCUAAACGCUAAAGCCGAACACGUGUAACCAUCUGGUGUGGAGAGCAGAGGUUGAGCAGAGGCUCGGCUGGGGCCAGGAGUCUGUCAUACUCGCUCUGUGUCAGCUGGAGAGAGACGGAGCUCUCAGGACAGCCUGACCAGCAUCUGAAGCACAGCCCAACAGAGGAACAGUCAUAGCGGGCGUUUCUACUAAUGGACAAAC
ensembl:lncRNA